rnacentral:rRNA from 1 species
CCUACGGGCGGCAGCAGUGGGGAAUAUUGGACAAUGGGCGAAAGCCUGAUCCAGCCAUGCCGCGUGUGUGAAGAAGGCCUUCGGGUUGUAAAGCACUUUCAGUGGGGAAGAAAGCCUUGGGGCUAAUACCCUCGAGGAAGGACAUCACCCACAGAAGAAGCACCGGCUAACUCCGUGCCAGCAGCCGCGGUAAUACGGAGGGUGCGAGCGUUAAUCGGAAUUACUGGGCGUAAAGCGCGCGUAGGCGGUCUGAUAAGCCGGUUGUGAAAGCCCCGGGCUCAACCUGGGAACGGCAUCCGGAACUGUCAGGCUAGAGUGCAGGAGAGGAAGGUAGAAUUCCUGGUGUAGCGGUGAAAUGCGUAGAGAUCGGGAGGAAUACCAGUGGCGAAGGCGGCCUUCUGGACUGACACUGACGCUGAGGUGCGAAAGCGUGGGUAGCAAACAGGAUUAGAUACCCGAGUAGUC